rnacentral:rRNA from 1 species
GAUGAACGCUGGCGGCGUGCCUAAUACAUGCAAGUCGAGCGAACAGACGAGGAGCUUGCCCCUCUGACGUUAGCGGCGGACGGGUGAGUAACACGUGGAUAACCUACCUAUAAGACUGGGAUAACUUCGGGAAACCGGAGCUAAUACCGGAUAAUAUAUUGAACCGCAUGGUUCAAUAGUGAAAGACGGUUUUGCUGUCACUUAUAGAUGGAUCCGCGCCGCAUUAGCUAGUUGGUAAGGUAACGGCUUACCAAGGCAAUGAUGCGUAGCCGACCUGAGAGGGUGAUCGGCCACACUGGAACUGAGACACGGUCCAGACUCCUACGGGAGGCAGCAGUAGGGAAUCUUCCGCAAUGGGCGAAAGCCUGACGGAGCAACGCCGCGUGAGUGAUGAAGGUCUUCGGAUCGUAAAACUCUGUUAUUAGGGAAGAACAAAUGUGUAAGUAACUAUGCACGUCUUGACGGUACCUAAUCAGAAAGCCACGGCUAACUACGUG